GGCCCCGUGGCGUAAUAGUAGCGCAUCUGAUUCCAGAAAUUGGAAUUUCCAGAAGGUUAUCCGUGCAAGUCGGGUCGGGGUCA